rnacentral:misc_RNA from 1 species
UUAUUUAAAAAUUUAUUUAUUUUAUAAAAAAUAAUUUUUAUAUAAAAAAAUAUGUGUUAUACAUUUUAAUAAAAUUUUAAAAAUUUAGAAAAUAGGCACCUAAUCGUUGUCAAUUUGAACUUCUCAUGAGCGCAUCUGUAAUCAUCUGAAGGACUGAAUUAUUAGAUCCGCAUCAACAACAAUUUCUGGAAAUUCGCAAUCCCAUCUCAUAACAUUAACAAACCCAAAUAAUGAAACAAGCCCAUUGUGAAAAUGAGAAGAGUGAAGCCAUGUGCAACCAUGUGAUGAUGAAAACGAAGGCUCGAGUCACUUGCUACUUCACAGAUUAAGUGAUUGCUAUCCUGUGAAGAGAAAGAAGAUGGAGACACGUGUUGGAUGGCACCAGAACCUGGUCAUUGGUUGAAGAAGGCUAAAGGUUGAGGAUGAAACAAAUAGAGGGACAACACCGAUCGUGAAUCUGGAGAAGGGGUGAUAUUUAGAAACGACAAUGGAUGAGCAUGUGAGAAGGAGGAGGAGAGGUUUUACCAGUUAAAUUUAGUAUUACUGUUUAUGAUACAAAAAUUGAGAACGGCCGGCUUGACAUUUUGACAAACAGUUUUGGGACCUAUCGGUGCAUCCACAAUUUGAUUCCAA